rnacentral:tRNA from 1 species
GGCUGUAGCUCAGUGGUACAGCACUUGCCUAGCAUGUGCGAGGCACUGGGUUUGAUUCUCAGCACCA